rnacentral:ncRNA from 2 species
UUUUCAUCAACCGGAAAGGGUCCUUAAUGAAGAUUAGGGAUAAUAGGGAAUCGUGUUUCAAUCACGAGCUGUCGCGCAACUGUAAUCAGCCAAAGGCGUUGCCCAUGUAAUAUCCACUGUCCUGUUAAAAGGGAUGGGAAGGAUGGUAAACGCCGCUGUAAGCCAGGAGACCUGCCUUUUCCGUAGGAACAAU